GUGCUUUCUUCAGCAGCACAUACACUAAAAUUGGAGUGAUACAGAGAAGAUUAGCAUGGCCCCUGCACAAGGAUGACACAGAAAUUCAUGAAGCAUUCCAUAAAAAU